rnacentral:lncRNA from 1 species
CUUCUUUCUAUGGAUGCGUAACAACUUAUUUUAUCAUUCUGUUUGUGACUGAAAUUGAAUUUCUUUCUGUAAACCUGAAAAUAUCUGAGACAAGCCUCGAUCAACUUAGAAGUUUACUUUGCCAAGAUUAAGGACACGUCUUGGGAGACAGGUCUGUGCCUUUCUCCAAAGAUGAUUUCGAGGGCUUCAGUAUUUAAAGGAAAAAGCCAGCUGGAGGGGACAGAGGGAGGGUAUGGUCACAUUACUGAAUCCAAAUGUUGCAAAAGAAAAGGAGCAUGUAGGGGAAUGGUCAAUUAUGUGUUCGUCCCAUGCUCAGUAACUCGACUCUUCACACAAGAUAAGGCCACUGCCUUCAGAGAAGGUGACAGAGGGCCAUGUCUGAAACAUUCUCCCACAACCAGGAACCCUCAGCAGCUGCUGAAGAGGAAAGGCAGUUAAAUGGAAAGACUUCUGAGCAAGUGGAAGAAAAGUCACGUGUGACCUAGGGAGGGGCUCCCACAGGAAGGGGCAAUGCCCUUGCCCUGUUCACCUAGCCUCCAGGUGGCUCCCCACUUGAAAUUUCAGAGGAUGGCAGAAACCUACUUACAAGGAAAUGAAAGAGGGCACAGCAACCUUAAGACCAGAGCAGCCCACAAUAUUUUUUAAUGAGGGCAAAAAUAGGAGACUUGCAAAAGACCCCUGAAAAUAAUGCCUGGAAGCUGCGAAACAUCAGACUGACACCGCACAAAAGAGGUCCAGCUGAGCAGGAGAAAAGCUUGAGAAGCAUCCAGAACAAUGUAGGUGGAGAGGCUAAGAAGAAAGAGGAGCCCACAUGGAAUGAAUAACCAAGGUCGGGACAGAGGAAGGUUCGCCAGAACUGGGAGGGCUGAAAUUGGACAUUGAGAUAAGUUAAAGAGUGUUCUUUAAAACUGUCAAGACUUUGGCUGGUCAAUAAGUAAACUGCAAACGAGUGUUCCUAAACCACAGCAGCAAUGCUCCCUGGAGGAGGGAAGGAGGCCGGGGCUGCCACUCUCCCAGCUGGCUGCGUCCCGGCCUUUGCCAUUGAUGUGUGCUUUCUCCAGGCUCACAGAUGUCCCUGGGCCGGUUGCAUCUGUGACCAGGACUCUGCCACCUGCCUGUGGCUGGCUGAUCAGCUGGUCACCCAGGAAUGUUAGGGAUGAACAGAGACCUAGAACUCAGGCUCCAUGGAUCUGGCAGCACCAGGAGACGAGGUUUCAAAUCUCAUGGCUGGGCCAGCCAGCCAGGUGCCCUGGAACUGUUGUGAUCCCUGCUCCUUGCCGGGCUUAGCCUCCUCUUACUUCAGCCCAGAAGUCCCCGAGUACCCACUCAACAAAUGCCAUCCCUUUAAUUUCUGUGGCCUGCUGCCAUCACGACUCGCCUAAUUCAUUCCCUCCACACCCUAAGUGUCCACAGAAGUGGCUGAAACAGUAAAACCACAGAGGAGCAUUCAUUCCAGUCCCCAAGGCGAGCCCCCUCCUUUGCACCCUGCUGUUUGGUUGAUUUCUUCUUUCUUCACUUCCCAGGAUGUGGAGCAGAUUCCCUGUGGCAUGAUUACCUGAGGCCAGGUACAGACUGGCUCCAGGGAAGCACAGGGCUGGGGUCCCAGUUCCCACACCGGGCCAUUCAUUAACAGGUGGGAAGAGUUCCACCACUUCUGAGGAAUUAGCAGGCUCCAGGUGACCCUAUGUCACCCCAAAUGACUCUCCAUUCCCCACAGACUCAGCCACAGGGCCAACAGUUUCUAUUGCUAUCUUUCCCUCCAGAAAACCCCUGGGCCAUCUCGCCUGCCCAGCUCCUGCUCCUCCCCAAGGGAGGGCUACAGUUAAAGAAGGGAAAGUGGCUAAUUCACUAAGUAAUUAACUUAAGGAGUGUCUAUUGAACAUCUACUGUGUGCAAGAUGCUGUUCUAGAUUUGAGAUACAAAACAGGGAAAGAGAAGGCCCUGCUCUCACGGAUGGGCAUUAGAAGAGUGGGGUUGAUAAACACGAGGAUCAGUGAAGAGCAUUCCAGGCAGGAAUAAGCACUGCAGAGGAAAGAGGAUGAGAUGAGAAGGGAGAGCGAGCGAGCAGCAGUGGGGGAGGUGUCCGUGGGGUUGAGUCUGGACGAGGGGAGGGAAGCAGCCAGUGCUUAGCAGGAAGACAGGGCAGGGGUGCAGCUCCCAGAAGGAGACAAAGAGGACCUUUCGAAGGUCUGCAGGUGGCAGGAGGGGCAGAGGAGGCUGGACCCAGGUAAGAAGUCAUUGCAGGGGUCCAAGCCAGGAGAGGACAAAUCUGAUGGAGGUUUAAAAGGCUCAGUUGUCUGCCUGGUGGAGAAGAGACGAAGGGGCAGAGGGGGAAAAAGUGAUGGACUAAGGAUAGAUUUUGGAGGCAGAGCAAACAGGAGAGCAUGAAAGAAACAGAGAAUCAAAGAUGAUGUUUAGGCCAGGGGCGGUGGCUCAUGCCUCUAGUCCCAGCACUUUCGGAGGCUGAGGUGAGAGGAUCGCUUAAGCCCAGGAGUUCAAGACCAGCCUGGGCAACAUAGCAAGACUGCAUCUCUAAAAAAAAAAAAAAAAAAAAAAAAAAUUAGCCAGGUGUGGUGGUGCACACUUGUAGUCUCAGCUACUUGGGAGGCUGAAGUGGGAGAAUCGCUUGAGCUGGGUAUGUUGAGGGUACAAUGAGCCAUGAUUGUGCCACUGCACUCUAGCAGUGGAUGACAGAGUGAGGCCCUGUCUCAAAAAGAAAAGAUGAUGAGUUAUUGGUUUGGGACCAUUUUCUGACCUAGGGAAGACAGAGGAGAAGCUGGCUUGUGGGUGAGUGGUAUCUGGAGCUCCGUUUUGGCCAGGUUACAUUCCAGGCGCCUCCUCGGGGUCUGGGAGGAGCUGUGGAGAACCCAGACAUGACUGUAGGGGUGAAGCAUUUCUGGCCUGUGUAAGCACACACCUGGUGGCCACAGGGCCUGGGCUGUCUGAGAGAGGUCUGGUUUGAGAUGUGUCAACGUCAGACUCUAAAUGCCUCUCACCCCAGGGCUCAGGUAGCCCCUUCCGUGCCUGUCCAGAAGACCCUGCAGAAAGUGCUCAUGGUGGUGUCAUCUCACCUGCAGUAUUUGUUCCUAAAUCAGCACAAGUCGGAUCCUAGCAAGGGCCAUGGAAUAUGCUUAGAGGGUGACACAUACACUGCCACUGCCUAUUUCUAUUCAUGAACUCACUUUUGAAAGUGUCCCAUUUUGAGAUAAUUUUAGACUUAUAGAAGAGUUGCGAAAGCAGCCUCCCCACCCCCAGCCUCUUCUCAUGCCGGCAUUCCAUGAAUCAGAGUGCGAUUAUGAGAGCUGAGACUCACCUCGCCGUGGUCUCGAGAGCUGGACGGCAGGCAGGCCCCCCCCAGCGCCCUCCUCUGUUCCCAGCUCCCACGUGCAUUUGGCUGUCACCUCUCUCUGUCUCCUUUCUGUGUCAGGGCCGGCUUUUUAAGAGGAUGGGUCUGUCGCUCUUGGACAGUCUCUCCGCCUAGGUCUGCCUGACGCCUUCUCUGCAUUGGACUGAGAUGCAGGGUCUUGUUAUGUUACCCAAGCUGGACUUGAACUCUGGGCUCAAGCAAUCCUCCCACCUCAGCCUCCCAAGUAGCUAGGACAACAGGCACGUGCCACGGCGCCUUAGUAACUUUCUGUGUGGUGAUUAAUUCUAAACUUAAUUUUUAAAA